UACGUAGGGGGCAAGCGUUGUCCGGAAUCAUUGGGCGUAAAGAGCGUGUAGGCGGUCCGGUAAGUCGGCUGUGAAAGUCCAGGGCUCAACCCUGGGAUGCCGGUCGAUACUGCCGGACUAGAGUUCGGAAGAGGCGAGUGGAAUUCCCGGUGUAGCGGUGGAAUGCGCAGAUAUCAGGAGGAACACCAAUAGCGAAGGCAGCUCGCUGGGACGGUACUGACGCUAAGGCGCGAAAGCGUGGGGAGCGAACAGG
rnacentral:rRNA from 1 species